AGGCACCAGGAAAGUGCAUGUUUGUCCAGCCUUUACACCACAUGGCUCAGAGCAACACAUGCUCUAAUCUGGACUAAGUCCACUUAGCAGAGGCAUAGGUGGCCUUCUGCUGACCCUUCCUGGAAACUCUCGUAUUGCCCAGGCUCUCCCAUCUAUUCUAAUGGGAGUGGUGAGAGGGUGAAGCAAACCAGACAGAAAACUGUUUUUCCACUGUAAAUCGGGAAGUGGCCUCCGGUUGCUACAGAAAGAAGACUGGCCCUGGAUAUAAACCCUUGACCUCGGUCCUCCAGAACCAUGAGUGGAAGCUGCUUCUUUGUUAUGCACAGAGAAUGACAGGAUGCAGCUGGACAUCUUAGGAGACUUACAGCCACCCAGGCUGAGAAGGACUAAAGUCUAAUGGACCAAAUGAUAAGUUCUUCCUCUAAAUGAAGAAUCAGGUAAGUAAGCAGAAGUGAAGAGCACAUGCAUGUGGCAGUC
rnacentral:lncRNA from 1 species